CUGAGACUGGUGAAAGUCUUCCUGUGACAUUGUCUUGGGUUCAGCAGUCGAGGACCUGUGUUCAGAGGGUUUUGUGAGUACCUGGAGGAAGACAACUGGAGAAAACUUGCACCAAGCUUUCAUGAUCAGGAAUUAUGGAAAACCUUUCAAAUCAUCACCUUUUUGGUUCAGGAGUGAAGAAAAAUAACAGGAAGGGAGACCCUGAGUGGUUCCCAGAUUCAAAGGAAUUCCUGCCACCUCUCUGUGUGUGCAUCUCUGCUCCUGGCAGCAGCCACCAGCCCUCCUCCUUACACAGACCCCAUCAAAUAUGAAAUCAGUUGGAGCAAAUAAGAU